AAAGUCGUAACAAGGUCUCCGUUGGUGAACCAGCGGAGGGAUCAUUACCGAGUUAUACUCCAAACCCAUUGUGAACCUUACCAAUUACUGCUGUUGCCUCGGCGGACGGCGAGAGGGCCUCCUCACGGGGCGCCCGAUUGCCCCCGCCGGCAGCACCAAACUCUUGAAUUUAUAGCGAAUCUUACUUCUGAAUAACAAAAACAAACAAAUCAAAACUUUCAACAACGGAUCUCUUGGUUCUG
rnacentral:misc_RNA from 1 species